rnacentral:rRNA from 1 species
AUACAGAGGGUGCAAGCGUUAAUCGGAUUUACUGGGCGUAAAGCGCGCGUAGGUGGCUAAUUAAGUCAAAUGUGAAAUCCCCGAGCUUAACUUGGGAAUUGCAUUCGAUACUGGUUAGCUAGAGUAUGGGAGAGGAUGGUAGAAUUCCAGGUGUAGCGGUGAAAUGCGUAGAGAUCUGGAGGAAUACCGAUGGCGAAGGCAGCCAACUGGCCUAAUACUGACACUGAGGUGCGAAAGCAUGGGGAGCAAACAGGAUUAGAUACCCUGGUAGUCCAUGCCGUAAACGAUGUCUACUAGCCGUUGGGGCCCUUGAGGCUUUAGUGGCGCAGCUAACGCGAUAAGUAGACCGCCUGGGGAGUACGGUCGCAAGACUAAAACUCAAAUGAAUUGACGGGG